AGUUAAUCUCUGAUUCAACCUGCGAAGCAGAAGGUGGCGCUAAUUUGCACACUACACUGAUUCCUUACCGCUCUUUGGAAAAACACAGAAGAAGAAAAGUUUGAACAACGCAGCAAGGCGGGAAGCAGCAGACAGUAGGGUUGCAGAAACUACCUACGCAGCAGCAAUCAGGCUCACUGGACUUACUUUUCAAGAAGUUAAGGAAGAUAACUGGAGAUGUGAUAACGAUACCAGAAGACUGAGAAGAAACUGACCCUCAUUAGAAAGAUGAUGGAGACCACAUUUCCCCUACGCGGC